ACUCUUAUGAGGCCCCGUAAUUGGAAUGAGAACAAUCUAAAUCCUUUAACGAGGAUCUAUUGGAGGGCAAGUCUGGUGCCAGCAGCCGCGGUAAUUCCAGCUCCAAUAGCGUAUAUUAAAGUUGUUGUGGUUAAAAAGCUCGUAGUUGGAUCUCAGUUCGAGUCAGGCGGUCCACUUGCCAGUGGCUACUGCCUGACUGAACACUUUACCGAGUUGUCCUAUGGUGUUCUUCACCGAGCGUCAUAGGCGAUCGGUACGUUUACUUUGAAAAAAUUAGAGUGCUCAAAGCAGGCGUAACGCCCGAAUAAUGUUGCAUGGAAUAAUGGAAUAGGACCUCGGUUCUAUUUUGUUGGUCUUCGGAAUCAGAGGUAAUGAUCAAUAGGGACAGACGGGGACAUUCGUAUUGCGGCGCUAGAGGUGAAAUUCUUGGACCGUCGCAAGACGAACUAAAGCGAAAGCAUUUGUCAAGAAUGUUUUCAUUAAUCAAGAACGAAAGUUAGAGGUUCGAAGGCGAUCAGAUACCGCCCUAGUUCUAACCAUAAACGAUGCCAACCAGUAAUUCGUCUGAGUUCCUUAAAUGACUCGACGAGGGACUUCCGGGAAACCAAAGUCUUUCGGUUCCAGGGGAAGUAUGGUUGCAAAGCUGAAACUUAAAGAAAUUGACGGAAGGGCACCACCAGGAGUGGAGCCUGCGGCUUAAUUUGACACAACACGGGAAAACUCACCCGGCCCGGACACUGGAAGGAUUGACAGAUUGAGAGCUCUUUCUUGAUUCAGUGGGUGGUGGUGCAUGGCCGUUCUUAGUUGGUGGAGUGAUUUGUCUGGUUAAUUCCGAUAACGAACGAGACUCUAGCCUACUAAAUAGAUCGUCGGCUUACAAACGCCGGCGAGACUUCUUAGAGGGACAGGCGGUGAUUCAACCGCACGAAACAGAGCAAUAACAGGUCUGUGAUGCCCUUAGAUGUCCGGGGCCGCACGCGCGCUACACUGAAGUGAUCAGCGUGCUUUUUCAACCUACUCUGUCAAGAGUGGGGAACCCAAUGAACCUUCUUCGUGAUUGGGAUAGGGGAUUGUAAUUAUUUCCCUUGAACGAGGAAUUCCCAGUAAGCGCGAGUCAUAAGCUCGCGUUGAUUACGUCCCUGCCCUUUGUACACACCGCCCGUCGCUACUACCGAUUGAAUGUUUUAGUGAGGUCUUCGGACUGGCCGGCGCAGCACUCUCGUAGUGCAGCGCUGUGUUUGGAAAGAUGCCCAAACUUGAACAUUUAGAGGAAGUAAAAGUCGUAACAAGGUUUCCGUAGGUGAACCUGCGGAAG
rnacentral:rRNA from 1 species